rnacentral:rRNA from 1 species
GAUGAACGCUGGCGGCGUGCUUAACACAUGCAAGUCGAACGGGAAAUAUUUCAUUGAGACUUCGGUGGAUUUGAUCUAUUUCUAGUGGCGGACGGGUGAGUAACGCGUGGGUAACCUGCCUUAUACAGGGGGAUAACAGUCAGAAAUGGCUGCUAAUACCGCAUAAGCGCACAGAGCUGCAUGGCUCAGUGUGAAAAACUCCGGUGGUAUAAGAUGGACCCGCGUUGGAUUAGCUUGUUGGUGGGGUAACGGCCCACCAAGGCGACGAUCCAUAGCCGGCCUGAGAGGGUGAACGGCCACAUUGGGACUGAGACACGGCCCAGACUCCUACGGGAGGCAGCAGUGGGGAAUAUUGCACAAUGGGGGAAACCCUGAUGCAGCGACGCCGCGUGAAGGAAGAAGUAUCUCGGUAUGUAAACUUCUAUCAGCAGGGAAGAUAGUGACGGU